rnacentral:rRNA from 1 species
UACGGAGGAUGCAAGCGUUAUCCGGAAUUAUUGGGCGUAAAGAGCGCGCAGGUGGUUGAUUAAGUCUGAUGUGAAAGCCCACGGAUUAACCGUGGAGGGUCAUUGGAAACUGGUCGACUUGAGUGCAGAAGAGGGAAGUGGAAUUCCAUGUGUAGCGGUGAAAUGCGUAGAGAUAUGGAGGAACACCAGUGGCGAAGGCGGCUUCCUGGUCUGUAACUGACACUGAGGCGCGAAAGCGUGGGGAGCAAACAGGAUUAGA